UACGUAGGGUGCAAGCGUUGCCCGGAAUUAUUGGGCGUAAAGAGCUCGUAGGCGGUCUGUCGCGUCGGAUGUGAAAAUCCAGGGCUCAACCCUGGACCUGCAUUCGAUACGGGCAGACUAGAGUUCGGUAGGGGAGACUGGAAUUCCUGGUGUAGCGGUGAAAUGCGCAGAUAUCAGGAGGAACACCGAUGGCGAAGGCAGGUCUCUGGGCCACUACUGACGCUGAGAAGCGAAAGCAUGGGGAGCGAACAGG
rnacentral:rRNA from 1 species